rnacentral:rRNA from 1 species
UACGUAGGGGGCAAGCGUUGUCCGGAAUCAUUGGGCGUAAAGCGCGUGUAGGCGGUCCGGUAAGUCCGCUGUGAAAGUCGGGGGCUCAACCCUCGGAUGCCGGUGGAUACUGUCGGGCUUGAGUACGGAAGAGGCGAGUGGAAUUCCUGGUGUAGCGGUGAAAUGCGCAGAUAUCAGGAGGAACACCAAUUGCGAAGGCAGCUCGCUGGGACGUUACUGACGCUGAGACGCGAAAGCGUGGGGAGCAAACGGG